CAACGAGCCUAGCCUUGGCCGAGAGGCCCGGGUAAUCUUUGAAACUGCAUCGUGAUGGGGAUAGAUUAUUGCAAUUAUUAAUCUUCAACGAGGAAUGCCUAGUAAGCGCAAGUCAUCAGCUUGCGUUGAUUACGUCCCUGCCCUUUGUACACACCGCCCGUCGCUCCUACCGAUUGGGUGUGCUGGUGAAGUGUUCGGAUUGGCAACCCGGGGCGGUUUCCGCCCUGGGCUGCCGAGAAGUUCAUUAAACCCUCCCACCUAGAGGAAGGAGAAGUCGUAACAAGGUUUCCGUAGGUGAACCUGCGGAAGGAUCAUUGAAUCAAUCGAACCCACACCGGUAACCAAACACCCCCCCCUUGCCUAACCCCCAAGGGGCGCCAGUCCCCUGGCCCGGGCCUCCGUGCCCCGGUGUCCAGGUCUGGCGGGGUGGGGGGCGGCUGCCCCUCCGCCUGGUAAUCUCUUAUACCUAACCUCAACACACCCCAAACCUGUAAACCAAACUGAAGCCAAUCGAGUCGGAGGGGGAAACCCCGACGGCCACGAACCUAUGACAACUCUCAACAACGGAUAUCUUGGCUCCCGUAUCGAUGAAGAACGCAGCGAAAUGCGAUACGUAGUGUGAAUUGCAGAAUUCCGUGAACCAUCGAAUCUUUGAACGCAACUUGCGCCCGAGGCUCCGGCCGAGGGCAUGCCUGCCUCAGCGUCGGUUUACACCCCCUCGCCCCCACCCCCUUGUGGGUAGUGGGAGCGGACCUGGCACCCUCGGGCUGCUGUCGGAAACCCUCCGACUGCCAGCCCGGGUCUGCUGAAGUUCAGAGGCUUGAGCAUGGACCCCGUUUGCAGGGCACCGGCUUGGUAGGUAGGCGUCAGCCUGCACCCCGCCUGCCGGUACCCGAGGGGACUUUGCUGGGAGCCCGACCGGGAGCCGAUUCGUCGACCUCCCACCCUUCAAACCUUCGACCUGAGCUCAGGCAAGACUACCCGCUGAACUUAAGCAUAUCAAUAAGCGGAGGAAAAGAAACUAACCAGGAUUCCCCUAGUAACGGCGAGUGAACCGGGAAGAAGCCCAGCUUGAAAAUCUCCAGCCCCCGGCUGGCGAAUUGUAGUCUAGAGAAGCGCCUUCUGCGGAGCUCCGGGCCCAAGUCCCCUGGAAAGGGGCGUCAGAGAGGGUGAGAACCCCGUUGGGCCCGGCCGCCUUCGCCCCACGAAGCGCUUUCCCAGAGUCGGGUUGUUUGGGAAUGCAGCCCAAAGCAGGUGGUAAAU
rnacentral:rRNA from 1 species